rnacentral:tRNA from 2 species
GGGGCAUUGGCGCAGCUGGGAGCGCGUUUGACUGGCAGUCAAAAGGUCAGGGGUUCGAACCCCCUAUGCUCCACCA